rnacentral:misc_RNA from 1 species
UCUCCGUUGGUGAACCAGCGGAGGGAUCAUUACCGAGUUUCUACUCUAAACCCUUGCGAACCUACCUUCAUGUGCUUCGGCGGGCCUCCCCCGGGGGGGCUCAGCACGGCCCGCCGAUGGCACCAAAAAUCUCUAUCAAGAGUCUUCUGAGUGGACAAAAAAAACAAGUCAAAACCUUCAACAACGGAUCUCUUGGUUCUG